CUACGGGGCGCUCCAGUGAGGAAUAUUGCACAAUGGGGGGAACCCUGAUGCGGCAACGCCGCGUGGAGGAUGACGCACUUCGGUGUGUAAACUCCUUUUAUAUGUCAAGAAAAUGACGGUAGCAUAUGAAUAAGCACCGGCUAACUCCGUGCCAGCAGCCGCGGUAAUACGGAGGGUGCAAGCGUUACUCGGAAUCACUGGGCGUAAAGGACGCGUAGGCGGGUUGGAAAGUCAGGUGUGAAAUCCUACAGCUUAACUGUAGAACUGCACUUGAAACUUCUAAUCUAGAGUAUGGGAGGGGGAGAUGGAAUUAGUGGUGUAGGGGUAAAAUCCGUAGAUAUCACUAGGAAUACCUAAAGCGAAGGCGAUCUCCUGGAACAUUACUGACGCUAAGGCGUGAAAGCGUGGGGAGCAAACAGGAUUAGAUACCCGAGUAGUC
rnacentral:rRNA from 1 species